rnacentral:rRNA from 1 species
UACGUAGGGUGCGAGCGUUGUCCGGAAUUAUUGGGCGUAAAGGGCUCGUAGGCGGUUUGUCGCGUCGGGAGUGAAAUCCACUGGCUUAACUGGUGGCUUGCUUUCGAUACGGGCAGACUGGAGGUAUGCAGGGGAGAACGGAAUUCCUGGUGUAGCGGUGAAAUGCGUAGAUAUCGGGAGGAACACCUGUGGCGAAGGCGGCCCCCUGGUUGGAUACUGACGCUGAUACGCGAAAAGCGUGGGGAGCAAACAGGG